rnacentral:lncRNA from 1 species
UAGAAACUACAUUUAAUGUUUGAUUAAAAAAACCUGUUUAUUCUAUAGGAAACUAGUUUGAAUAAUUUUUGAAUUCUUCCUUCCCUUCGUGCAUUUUUUUUAAAGUUAAAGAUGGUCAAAAACGUGCAAGUUUGUUAGACAACAUUUGAAUUUCAGAAUAAAGUAGCAGCCCCUCCUUUCUAUGAUGUCCGGACCACCACGGACAGAGCCGAAGCUCACCGAACCAACACUACUGUCUACUGAGUCUGCGUCACUCUGGUGGUGAGCAGCAAAGAUUAUAGCUACCUUUUCUAAAACAAAAUGAAAGUUUUCGAACAGUUGGAAUUCAUCAACAUGGACGUUAGGAUGGCUGGACCGUCACGUUAACAGGAAACUCCUGGGAAACGCCCGCUUUUUAUCGUGCUUGCUAUUUCCAACACACAGUAAGUUAGCAGAGGCUGCUUGGCUAGCUAACGCUGAGAAAAGGUAAAUAAGAGCAACGUCCUAGAAAAAAAAGCUGCAGAGUUUUCCCUUUUACCGGAAAGACAGCUGAAUUUACGCUACAGUUGGUGGUGCAUUUAAGAAGAAAAUGGCAUUUGACUGACCUGUGCGGAUGCUGCUGAAGUAGAAAAGUCUGGAUUUAAUAUUCCUUAUAUCGUCGGAUGGAUUUCAGAGCCACAUCACCAAACAAUCCCGGAAACAAAACUUCCUUCGCCCUGAUUGGACAGCCGAGACCCAGAGGAUUUUUUUUUCUUAAAUGGCAGUGCGUGACCAAAGAGUCAACCAGAUCAUCAACCAGGGCAAGCAGCUGGGGAAGAACAUCCUCCUGCUGGCUCACUACACUACAGUAUUUGCUACACCUGCAGAGAGGCCAGAGGAGGCGUGCGGCUGCUGGAGCCAGGGAGAUGACUCCAGACUCUGACAAACAACCGCAGUGA